rnacentral:rRNA from 1 species
UAAUACCGGCAGCUCAAGUGGUAGCCGCGAUUAUUGGGCCUAAAACGUUCGUAGCCGGAUAAGUAAGUCUUUGGUUAAAUCCUGCGACUCAACCGUGGGAAUUCUAGAGAUACUGCUUGUCUUGAGACCGGGAGAGGUUGGAGGUACUCCUAGGGUAGGGGUGAAAUCCUGUAAUCCUAGGGGGACCACCUGUGGCGAAGGCGUCCAACUGGAACGGGUCUGACGGUGAGGGACGAAACCUAGGGGAGCGAGCCGG